UUUAGAUUUUAGGGUUUAGGGUUUAGGGUUUAGAGUUUAGGGUUUAGAGUUGAGAAAUGAGGUUUUGGGGAUAAGAUUUCAAAUUUUGAAAAAUAAAAAAAUUAAAAUUUUCAAAGGAUAAACUUAGAAAGGUUCUAUUUUGGUCAUUUUAGUUUUUGAGUGCUAUUUUUGUGAUAUAAACUUAGAAAGGUGCUAUUUUUGAGAUUUGCCCAUUUAUAUAUGUUAAACUAUAUACUUAUACAUAAAAGUGGAUUUAAAAUAUAUUUAUGUUCAGUUUAAAAAAAAUAAUAAUGUAUAUAUUAAUCAUAUACUUAUAUUUCGUGUAAAAGUAUAUAUCCGUAUAUA
rnacentral:lncRNA from 1 species